GAUUUUUAUGAUACUAAAGAUCCAACGGAAAAUAUUCUUUAAAUAAAGCACUCGCUUAUAAUCAACGCCAACAAAUUGCAUGUUUUGCGACUUGCGAUAGUAAAAUUUGUGUGUUUUUCCGCCUUAAACACUGCUCGCAGCGAUUCAACUAUUCCUUCAGCUUGGCGGGUCCUUUGAGUUUCUUCGCCACUUUCUUGGCUGUCUGGCUGGCGCAAGUGGGUCAAGCGCUGCAUAAAUGAGUACACACACACAUACAUACUUACUCACAUUCAUAUAUCGCAGCAGCGAAAAUAAAAGUCAAAUGGCAAGAAAGCACUUGGAGCUGCCGUUGCUGCACACAUAAAACUACUGCCAAAUCGCUUACUAUCGUGUUUGUGGCACACAAAGGCAUGCCAUGCAUUAAUAUAACAGCGGUGAGGGGUGGCAGCAACAACUCGGAAUGUCGGUGUGCCCGGACUUCCUUUACAAUGAGCAGUCGAAUCGAAGAUAUUGAAGCUGAGAAAACAACUAACUCGUUAGUAACAACGGAUUGAGAUACCUUGCUAAUUAUUUUCCCAGAGGCAAACUGUUCCAAUAACCAAGCUCACUUUUGACUUUCCAACGCAUCAACAACCUGGUUGUCAGAGAGGACCAAAAACGACGCAGCUCAGAACUCAUAAUAAUCGUUGGUUAUAUGUUUACAUGUCAUUAAAUUGAAGAGAAUUAAGAAACUCCUAUUUCCUGGUACUGUUUACUUUUCUUAACAAUAAGAGACUAUGCAGAAUUUUUACGAUUUUAUCCAACAAAAAUAUAUUACACCU